GAUGAAGAACGUAGCGAAAUGCGAUACUUGGUGUGAAUUGCAGAAUCCCGUGAACCAUCGAGUCUUUGAACGCAAGUUGCGCCCGAAGCCACUAGGCCGAGGGCACGCCUGCCUGGGCGUCACACGCCGUUGCCCCCCCAUCUACUCCUUCGGGAUUGCGGGGGGGCGGAUGAUGUCCUCCUGUGCGCCUAGCCGCGCGGUUGGCAUAAAUACCAAGUCCUCGGCGACGCACGCCACGACAAUCGGUGGUUGCGAAACCUCGGUUGCCCGUCGUGUGCGUUCGUCGCGCAUCGAGGGCUCGAAAAAAUGCUCGGCUCCGGCUGGGCUUUCAACGCGACCCCAGGUCAGGCGGGGUUACCCGCUGAAUUUAAGCAUAUCAAUAAGCGGAGGA
rnacentral:misc_RNA from 1 species